GACGAACGCUGGCGGCGUGCUUAACACAUGCAAGUCGAACGGAAAGGCCCUGCUUUUGUGGGGUGCUCGAGUGGCGAACGGGUGAGUAACACGUGAGUAACCUGCCCUUGACUUUGGGAUAACUUCAGGAAACUGGGGCUAAUACCGGAUAGGAGCUCCUGCUGCAUGGUGGGGGUUGGAAAGUUUCGGCGGUUGGGGAUGGACUCGCGGCUUAUCAGCUUGUUGGUGGGGUAGUGGCUUACCAAGGCUUUGACGGGUAGCCGGCCUGAGAGGGUGACCGGCCACAUUGGGACUGAGAUACGGCCCAGACUCCUACGGGAGGCAGCAGUGGGGAAUAUUGCACAAUGGGCGGAAGCCUGAUGCAGCAACGCCGCGUGCGGGAUGACGGCCUUCGGGUUGUAAACCGCUUUCGCCUGUGACGAAGCGUGAGUGACGGUAAUGGGUAAAGAAGCACCGGCUAACUACGUGCCAGCAGCCGCGGUGAUACGUAGGGUGCGAGCGUUGUCCGGAUUUAUUGGGCGUAAAGGGCUCGUAGGUGGUUGAUCGCGUCGGAAGUGUAAUCUUGGGGCUUAACCCUGAGCGUGCUUUCGAUACGGGUUGACUUGAGGAAGGUAGGGGAGAAUGGAAUUCCUGGUGGAGCGGUGGAAUGCGCAGAUAUCAGGAGGAACACCAGUGGCGAAGGCGGUUCUCUGGGCCUUUCCUGACGCUGAGGAGCGAAAGCGUGGGGAGCGAACAGGCUUAGAUACCCUGGUAGUCCACGCUGUAAACGGUGGGUACUAGGUGUGGGGUCCAUUCCACGGGUUCCGUGCCGUAGCUAACGCUUUAAGUACCCCGCCUGGGGAGUACGGCCGCAAGGCUAAAACUCAAAGGAAUUAACGGGGCCCCGCACAAGCGGCGGAGCAUGCGGAUUAAUUCGAUGCAACGCGUAGAACCUUACCUGGGUUUGACAUGGAUCGGGAGUGCUCAGAGAUGGGUGUGCCUCUUUUGGGGUCGGUUCACAGGUGGUGCAUGCCUGUCGUCAGCUCGUGUCGUGAGAUGUUGGGUUAAGUCCCGCAACGAGCGCAACCCUUGUUCACUGUUGCCAGCACGUUAUGGUGGGGACUCAGUGGAGACCGCCGGGGUCAACUCGGAGGAAGGUGGGGAUGACGUCAAGUCCUCAUGCCCCUUAUGUCCAGGGCUUCACGCAUGCUACAAUGGCUGGUACAGAGAGUGGCGAGCCUGUGAGGGUGAGCGAAUCUCGGAAAGCCGGUCUCAGUUCGGAUUGGGGUCUGCAACUCGACCUCAUGAAGUCGGAGUCGCUAGUAAUCGCAGAUCAGCAACGCUGCGGUGAAUACGUUCCCGGGGCU
rnacentral:rRNA from 1 species